UGACCUCAGAUCAGGCAAGGCAACCCGCUGAAUUUAAGCAUAUUAAUAAGCGGAGGAAAAGAAACUAACAAGGAUUCCCCUAGUAAUGGCGAAUGAAGCGGGAACAGCUCAAAUUGAAAAUCUCCGUUGCUUGCAACGGCGAAUUGAGUUUCGAGAAGCACUUCUCGGCGAUCCGA
rnacentral:ncRNA from 1 species